CCUACGGGAGGCAGCAGUGAGGAAUAUUGGUCAAUGGGCGCGAGCCUGAACCAGCCAAGUAGCGUGAAGGAUGACUGCCCUACGUGUUGUAAACUUCUUUUAUAAAGGAAUAAAGUGAGGUACGUGUGCCUUUAUGUAUGUACUUUUUGAAGAAGGAUCGGCUAACUCCGGGCCAGCAGCCGCGGUAAUACGGAGGAUCCGAGCGUUAUCCGGAUUUAUUGGGUUUAAAGGGAGCGUAGAUGGGUUGUUAAGUCAGUUGUGAAAGUUUGCGGCUCAACCGUAAGAUUGCAAUUGAUACUGGCAGCCUUGAGUACAGUAGAGGUAGGCGGAAUUCGUGGUGUAGCGGUGAAAUGCUUAGAUAUCACGAAGAACUCCGAUUGCGAAGGCAGCUUACUAAACUGCCACUGACAUUGAUGCUCGAAAGUGUGGGUAUCAAACAGGAUUAGAUACCCCUGUAGUC
rnacentral:rRNA from 1 species